rnacentral:rRNA from 1 species
UACGUAGGGGGCAAGCGUUGUCCGGAUUUAUUGGGCGUAAAGAGCUCGUAGGCGGUUUGGUAAGUCGGGUGUGAAAUCUCCGUGCUCAACACGGAGGGGCCACCCGAUACUGCCAUGACUUGAGUCCGGUAGAGGAGAGUGGAAUUCCCGGUGUAGCGGUGAAAUGCGCAGAUAUCGGGAGGAACACCAGUAGCGAAGGCGGCUCUCUGGGCCGGUACUGACGCUGAGGAGCGAAAGCGUGGGGAGCGAACAGG